rnacentral:snRNA from 1 species
GGAUGUGAAAGGAUCUGGCUGUGUGUGACAUCUGUCACUCUGUUGAUUGCCAGGGUGGAUCUGGCUGGGUAUGAAAGUGUGUGUCCCUUUCCUCCCUCACUGUUCCAUGUGUGUCUCUCCUGAAGUGCAAUGUUCAAUGGAAGAAGGCAACCUUCCCUGACUAGGGAAAGGCAAGAAGGUGGUGGUGGGUCUUUGGUCAAAAGUAGCUAUGAUGCCCUGCUAGAACUCCCAAAUAAGCUCAUAAGAAGCCUAGACAAGGAUAUACAACUGGUAAUUCCUGAUGGCCUUAGGGAGGGUGGAAAAAGCCUAGGAAUAGAUUUUCUUUCUGUGGAUGCCAAG